UACGUAGGGUGAGCGUUAAUCGGAAUUACUGGGCGUAAAGCGUGCGCAGGCGGUGAUGUAAGACAGUUGUGAAAUCCCCGGGCUCAACCUGGGAAUUGCAUCUGUGACUGCAUCGCUAGAGUACGGUAGAGGGGGAUGGAAUUCCGCGUGUAGCAGUGAAAUGCGUAGAUAUGCGGAGGAACACCGAUGGCGAAGGCAAUCCCCUGGACCUGUACUGACGCUCAUGCACGAAAGCGUGGGGAGCAAACAGG
rnacentral:rRNA from 1 species